UACAGAGGGUGCGAGCGUUGUUCGGAAUUAUUGGGCGUAAAGCGCGUGUAGGCGGUGAUGCAUGUCGGGUGUGAAAGCCCUCAGCUCAACUGAGGAAGUGCGCCCGAAACUGCAUCGCUGGAGUGCCGGAGAGGAAGGCGGAAUUCCCGGUGUAGAGGUGAAAUUCGUAGAUAUCGGGAGGAACACCAGUGGCGAAGGCGGCCUUCUGGACGGACACGUGACGCUGAGACGCGAAAGCGUGGGAUAGCAAACGUA
rnacentral:rRNA from 1 species